rnacentral:lncRNA from 1 species
CACAGUGGUGUCAGGUAAUCUCAUCAUUGGGUGUUCCGAUGUGUAUGCUUUGAUGGACCCCGAUGCUUCUCACUCUUUUAUUGCUUCGAGAGCCGUAGAGAGAUUGGGUCUGAUCAUUUCUGAGUUAGAGUGUCCUCUCUGGGUCAGUGGACCCAAAUGUGACCCAUCAGUGGCAGUGUCAGUCUGUCGCUUCAGUCCAGUGUUCAUAGAGGGUAGAUGCCU